rnacentral:rRNA from 1 species
AUUGAACGCUGGCGGCAGGCCUAACACAUGCAAGUCGAGCGGAUGAAGGGAGCUUGCUCCUGGAUUCAGCGGCGGACGGGUGAGUAAUGCCUAGGAAUCUGCCUGGUAGUGGGGGAUAACGUCCGGAAACGGGCGCUAAUACCGCAUACGUCCUGAGGGAGAAAGUGGGGGAUCUUCGGACCUCACGCUAUCAGAUGAUCCUAGGUCGGAUUAGCUAGUUGGUGGGGUAAAGGCCUACCAAGGCGACGAUCCGUAACUGGUCUGAGAGGAUGAUCAGGCACACUGGAACUGAGACACGGUCCAGACUCCUACGGGAGGCAGCAGUGGGGAAUAUUGGACAAUGGGCGAAAGCCUGAUCCAGACAUGCCGCGUGUGUGAAGAAGGUCUUCGGAUUGUAAAGCACUUUAAGUUGGGAGGAAGGGCAGUAAGUUAAUACCUUGCUGUUUUGACGUUACCAACAGAAUAAGCACCGGCUAACUUCGUG